UGCAUCUGCCAGGAAUCGAACCCGGGCCGCCGGCGUGGCAGGCGAGCAUUCUACCACUUAACCACCGAUGC
rnacentral:tRNA from 1 species